CCUUGGAAUCUGGGAUAACAUUUCGAAAGGGGUGCUAAUACCGGAUAAGACCACGAGCUCUUUGGAGUUUGCGGUAAAGGGGGCCUCUGUAUAUGCUUCUGUUUCAAGAUGAGUCCGCGUACCAUUAGCUAGUUGGCAGGGUAAUGGCCUACCAAGGCGACGAUGGUUAGCUGGUCUGAGAGGAUGAUCAGCCACACUGGAACUGAGACACGGUCCAGACUCCUACGGGAGGCAGCAGUGGGGAAUUUUGCGCAAUGGGGGAAACCC
rnacentral:rRNA from 1 species